AUGCCCUAAAUCGACUCAGCACAUCUCUUUUGCCCUAAAUUGAUACACAAUAAUCUCCAGUUUGACAACAUCGCGCCGACCUAUCAUUGUUGGACCAUUGUCGCUGGUCCAUCGCCGCCUGUCCGUCGCCGCCAGUCCAUCGUCGCUCCAUCACAUCUCUCUCCAAGCAUUCAGAUACUCCGAGAUAAGCGCCCUCAUUCGCUACAAUGGCGUUACAAAUUCAUCAUGUUUGCCGGCCGAUUCUGUCGCCGCCAUCAACUGGAUCACAGUCAUUACGGCCGACUAAACAAUUUACCAUCGGCAGAGACGUUCAGCGAUCCGUUGCUUCAACCAAGUCAGUCGAUAGUAAAACCAAAAAAUACUUGAGGUCUUUGGUGAAGGUGAGAUCUCGCUUAGAGAUGUCCGGUCCAACGGUCGUUGUAGGUUAGAUUACCGAGGUUGAUAAGGAUACAUUUUGGCCAAUCGUUAAUGUCGUCGGUGAUAAGAUCGUUGUUCUGGAUAUGUACACUCAAUGGGAUUAAGGGAUAAAUGUGUUAAAAAUAUUCUUGUGUCCUAAUGAUUUUGAAUAUGGAUGUAGGAAACAAAUGUUGGAAAUUAAGCAAUCAGCUGAAGGAACACAAAAAGUUCCUGGACUCUCAGAGGUCCCUGUGUACAAGACAUGAAGUAUGGGAACUGCUCAAAAGCGGGAGUCGUGUCAGAUCUGUUGGAUCUACCAAUGCCAAUGAGCUAAGUAGCCAAUCUCACUGCUUAUUGAGAGUGACAGUUCGUGGGGAGAAUUUGGUGAAUGGACAGUUCGUGGUUAUUUAAUUUGGUGGGAAGUGAACAUGUGGAGAAGAUUGAAGGAAUCCGAAUUCAUAAAUAAAUCACUUUCAGCUUUAGGAGAUGUGAUUUCAGCUCUUGCAUCAAAGAUUUCUCACAUUCCUUACAGGAACUCAAAGCUUACCCAUAAUCUUCAGAGCUCUCUAGGAGGUGAUUGUAUGACAUUGAUUUUCAUCGGAUUUGGGAGAAAUAAUUUGUUCCCUGAAUUUUGCAUGCAGAGUGAGAGGUGUUGAAUAUGACCAGCUAGAAAACAACCUAAUGUCACUGAGCUAUUCAAGUACAAACAACUGACUGAGAAAGCAAAACAUGAUGAGAAAGAAACCAAAAAGUUGCAGGAUAAUCUUCAGUCUGUGCAACUCCGUCUUUCUGCAAGAGAACACAUAUGUAGAACUCUACAAGAAAAGGUGCCUAACUACAAUAUCGGAAAAAAUACCUCCCUCUCAGAAGAAUCACAAAAUUUGUGUCCACUCCCAAUUUCAGCAACAUUGCCUCAAAUAAGUUCAAGAUUGUAUGUAGUGGGGAAUCCUUUAUAGUUUUCCUGAGGUUCAAACACAUCCUAUUGUUAGCUCUUUGGCUUAUAUCCUAUUGAGAUUAUUAGAUACUCUUUCUUUGGGACAAAGGAGACAUUUGGUUCUACUCCAUACUGGCUUUUAUGGCUCAGGUAUAGCAUCUCAGUGAAAUUGCUAUGAUCUAUAAUGCAUUACCUUAUAUGAAGGAGUCUGAAAAGUAUUCCAUAAGGAUGCCCAACAAAUGGAACUUUUCAUUUGAUUACUUCUAUUUUGCUUUUGUAGUGUUAGUAGCUCUAUAAUUUCAUGUAUAAUUUAGGUGGGAAAUCAUCCGUUCUUAUAUGAAGAUUUAUUUGGUUAUUGUUGUAUUAUAAACAUUUAUAGCAUUUGCCUUUUCUUUUGUCUAAUUGGAUAUUAUUAUA